rnacentral:rRNA from 1 species
GAUGAACGCUGGCGGCGUGCCUAAUACAUGCAAGUCGAGCGAACAGACGAGGAGCUUGCUCCUCUGACGUUAGCGGCGGACGGGUGAGUAACACGUGGAUAACCUACCUAUAAGACUGGGAUAACUUCGGGAAACCGGAGCUAAUACCGGAUAACAUGUUGAACCGCAUGGUUUAACAGUGAAAGACGGUCUUGCUGUCACUUAUAGAUGGAUCCGCGCCGCAUUAGCUAGCUGGUAAGGUAACGGCUUACCAAGGCAACGAUGCGUAGCCGACCUGAGAGGGUGAUCGGCCACACUGGAACUGAGACACGGUCCAGACUCCUACGGGAGGCAGCAGUAGGGAAUCUUCCGCAAUGGGCGAAAGCCUGACGGAGCAACGCCGCGUGAGUGAAGAAGGUCUUCGGAUCGUAAAACUCUGUUAUUAGGGAAGAACAAAUGUGUAAGUAACUAUGCACGUCUUGACGGUACCUAAUCAGAAAGCCACGGCUAACUACGUG